rnacentral:lncRNA from 1 species
AAGAGACAGAGAAAAGAAUCUCUUCCUUCUUCCUCAUAGAGUUUCAGCUGUAUUUAUCUCUUCUUUUAAAUUGAAUAUGAAGGGUUUCUGUUUUUCGCUAAGGAUUACUUCUGGUGUUUAAUAUUUAAUGAGAAAAAAAUAUCUUAUCUAUAACGAUUAACGAAUUUAUUGACUUUCACCAUAAUCACGUAAAAGUAAAACUAAUUCACGUACAAAAAUACGAUUAGUCAUAUCGUUAUUAGCUAGACGUUUAUAACUGAUAUAUCGACUUCAAAAACUCAGACACGCGUUUCGUUUUAUUAGAAAGAAAACUAUUUAUAACUGACUUACUGACUUCAUCGUAUUCACGUAAAUUCAUCCACGUGGUUAGAUAUGAUCGUAGCAUAAUCAUUAAAUUAACAUGAUAUACUUAGGACAUUACGCGUGGCAGUUUUGCUGGAAAAAAAAUUUAGAUACGCGUUUCAUUUCUAUAAAUGAUUAUUUGUCGACAAGUUCAUUUAUAUAGAUGGAUAUAAUCAAUUAUAUCAUCAUUAAACGAUGUUUAUAUAACAUUUAAGGAUGGUAAUUUGGUAGAAAAAAAAAACAUUAGGCAUGAGUUUUGUGUGUUCUGAAAAACUAGUCUAACAAAUGUGAUUAAGGAUGACAAAACCCUCAUCUCUUAAUGAUGAUGUAGUGAAUAUUUAUACGUAACCAUGCAUGGAUCAUGAGGUGGUAUGAGUUUGAUACUUGUUGCGUUUGUAUAUUUACUUGUAUGCGCUUUGCCUUGAACAAUUUCUUCCACCACAUUCAUGAUAUGAUAUAUAAUAAACAUUUAACUAAUUGCAUGAGAAAUAUAAAAAAUAUUAAUAUAAUGAGUAAGUAUUAUUAGAAAUUUAAAAUCUUCAGGAAAAAAAGACAGUACAAUAAAUAACAAAUUUUGUUAAAGACAAACACAGACUAGAGUUAUGUUUUAGCGAUCUAGGGCUCAUUUGGAAAGUGCUAUUAAUUGAAAACAUUUUUAGAGAAAAUAUUUUUGGAUUUCAAAAGCAUUUGAAGUGUUUUUUUCACGAUUAACUUGCAUUUUUAUUAAGGAUUGGUUCCAAAACCAUUUUAUAUAAAAGCGCUUCCAGACAUUUAAAAGUCCUUUUGAAACAAUUUUCUAUACUAUAUUAUAGAUACCCUUGUUUGUUAAGUGAUAAUUUUUUCCUUUUUUUUUCUUCUUCAUAUAUAGAACGAUUAUAUUAAAAAUUUAAACGUAAAGGGUCAGGCUAAACCAUCACAAUAAGUCAUCAAUAAUUGAUAUCAAACUCACUAUUCAUGAAAGGUGAACUUAAUACUUCUUACUUACAAGUGAGAAAAAAUUGUUUACUAAAUCAUUUGAAAUUUAAGGUUAUUUUUGUAAUUACCUACAAUCCACUUUUGUUUUUGGUAUCUUUAAUUUUCUCUCCCUUUUAUGUUAUGGUAUUUAUGACAAUAUCCAACAACAAAAAUUCUUAUUAACUAAAGUUUCAAUACUUUCUUAAGAAGAGGUGAAAAAUCUGAGUGGAUAAUGAGUUAAUACUGCUUUUUAGACAACAUUUAUUAUCGAUACGGUUAUUUUUUUUUUUUAAUUUCAAUGCAUGCAUGCAUGGAGGCCACCUAUAUUAGUGAAGUGGUCAAUAACAUCUAAUUUUUAAGGUAAUAAUUUUGUUUGGGAAAAUUUUUGUACUUUUAGAAGUUGUUUAUAUCCUUCGAUAAACCAUAGUCUAAGAUAUAUGUCAUCCCCAUGGUUUAAUUAGUCACCCGUGAACCGCUCCGGUUCAGUCUCCUUUGUCACGAGACAAACACUGGAUUCUCUCGUUGUCUGUCCACAUAAGAGGACAAAAUUCGGGUGACUUAUUGGUAAAAUAAUCUCAUUGGAUAUUUAAGGAUUAGAAUAGGUCAAAUAUAUUUUACUUAGGGUUUUGUCUUUAACUUUAAUUAGAAAAUAUUAUUGAAUAUUUUAUGUGGAAAAGAAAACAUCCAGGAAAGUGAUUUACUAAAUUUAGGGCUUGUUUGAAAGUGUUUUUGAAAUUGUUGAAAUUAUUAAAAAAAGGGCAUAGAAAACAAAACAAAGAUAAGUUUUUCCUUGAAACACGAGGAUAGGGUCGGUGAAAGCGUUUUUAGUAAUAAAAAAAAUUAGAAUCAAUUAUUAGUAAAAAUGCAAGUGAAUUAUGGAAAAACACUUCAAGUGCUUUUGGAACAAAAAUUCAUUUUCUCUACACUCGUUUUUUAAAAGCACUUUCAAAUGAGUCUUAAGCCUCUCACACUCUCCUUUGUUUCUUACACUCCUCUAUUUAAAUUUGGUCGUCAAUUCUGUUUAAUUUAUUCAAUCCGAUGGUGAUAAAUAAAGAAACUUGCGUGAGAAGAAAAAAUAAGUGUGUGAAAAUCACUUUCCGACGUAUAAAUAUGUGCAAGUGAAUUAUAAAUUAUUGAUUGAGCAUCAAUCCUAUAUCAUAAGCAAUGGGGUGUGGUUGCAGAAAAAUACGACGAAUUUUAAUGGUGAAGCAAGUUGCUGGUUUAUUAUGUUUAAGUAUGAGGGACCAUGUCUAUAACAAAACGAAUAAAUUAUAAAAAAUAAAAAUAAAAUAACAAGAGUCCUUGUUUAUUAAUUGUUAUUUAUAUCUUAAAUCUUAAUAAAUAAGAGAUGUAGUACUAUACUUAUUAAAUUAAUCAUUGAUAUGUGAUGAAUUAUUCUUGUGGUUAGAACUUCCUCUUUGACACGUUGUGUUUCAAAUUUAAACUUUUUCCACUUUAAUUAUAAAUUAAUAUAAAAUAUCGUUUGUAUUAACGAAAAUUCCCUCGACCAUUCGUAUUUGGGCUCAGGCCCAAAGUCUACUGCAGGCCUUGAUUGCUUUUACAUGAUUGGGCUCAUGACGACGUGGCAACAUCAAAUUACUUGAAACCCGAAUUCUGAAACCAUAUCCGUUUCCCAAAACGGGUUUUUACGGCGCGCGAGUGUGAGCUACGAGAGAGAAGAAGAACCGAUCCGACUCGGAGCUUUCAAAUCGCACAGAGAGAGAGAGAGAGAGAGAGAUUCGAAAACAUGUUCCUGCGAGCGAUCGGACGGCCGUUGUUGGCCAGGGUGAAGCAGACGACAGGGAUUGUAGGGCUGGACGUGGUCCCCAAUGCGAGGGAGGUCCUAAUCGAGCUCUACUCCAAAACCCUAAAGGAGGUCCAGGCCAUCCCCGAGGACGAAGGCUACCGCAAGGCCGUCGAGAGCUUCACGCGCCACCGCCUCAAUGUCUGCCGCGAAGAGGAGGACUGGGAGGCCAUCGAGAAGAAGCUCGGCUGCGGCCAGGUCGAGGAGCUCAUCGAGGAGGCGCGCGACGAGCUCACUCUCACCGGCAAGAUGAUCGGUCAGUACAAUUUAUUAUUUUUAUUGCUAGUUUUAUAAUUUACUUAAUUCUUUAUUCUCGUUUUUGAAAGAAAUGAAAUUGAGAGUGGUUAUUUGUGUUUUGGGAUUGACAUGGGCCAUGAAAAUUGGAAUUUAGCUCAGAAAUGUGGUUUUAUUUUGGGAAAUUGAGUGCUUGUUUGUGAUUUCGACAUUUUUGCUUAGUUUGGUUGAUGAGAAAUCGAAAAGUAAUCGAAUUGGAAUUAGAAAGUUUGGUGAUUAAUCUGGCCUGUGUAGUUUUGUUUUGUGAUGGUAACUUAGUAAGUUGUUCAUUUCUUGUAGUGGAAAUUAGGGGAAAAGUGAGCGAAGUUCAUAAAUUCUUUAGCAGUCGGGUAUUUUGUUUACUACGUCAUGAAACGAAAGGUGGGUACUUGAUUUUAUCAGUUCCGAAGAAACAAUGAUUGCCCGAGAAUGCUGGUUGUUUGUUAAUGCAUAUCAUAUGGGGUGGUUAAAGAAGAAAAAAGAGGGUGGCAGGGGGAGUGGAGGGUGGCGGUUGCGGUGAAUGGACACAUUUGAAUCCAAGCUCAAGUGGAACAUAUAAUAAGCAAAUCUGUUUUCUUCACUUUGAAGCAUUUCAAACUCUCGUUCAAUGUCCAAAGUAGGAAUCUUUGUUUGUGUGAACUGUGAACUAUGGUUUUUACCAGCCAUUGUGCACUUGCAUGCUUCAGUUAAUGCUGAUUUUUUAGUUCUUCCGUCUCAGAGUUUUAUCAUUCUGAUGUUCAAACUGAUGUCUUUCUGUUGCCUUUAUAUGAAGUUCUUGUUUGAGCGACAUUUUGAGAUACGAUAUACAAUGGAUUGUUCGUAAUAGUUUGCAUUCUGUAUUGACUUGCAUUGCAGAGUGGGAUCCAUGGGGUGUUCCUGAUGAUUACGAAUGUGAGGUGAUCGAGAAUGAUGCUCCAGUUCCCAAGCACGUUCCUCUGCACCGACCUGGUCCUCUUCCUGAGGAGUUUUACAAAACGCUGGAAGGCCUUGCUACAAACCAACCAAAGUUGGAUGAGGCUAAAGUCACCUCUAUUGGUUCAGACGCAAAGGAGUAAACCAUCCGUCGGCAUAUGCUUCUAGGUACUUUGGAUUCCAGAUUUGAAUUGAAGUCUUUUUUCUUGUAUUCUCUCCUGUUUAUUGCUGGUGACAGUGCCUGUUUGCUGGGCUGUAUAAAUUUUAAUCAUGGGAGGAACGCUUGAAUAUUUCAAUUUCUGCGCUUGAUACCAUUGCGAUGUUGUUUACUUAAGUUCCGUCCCUGAUUCCCAUUGAGAAUGAAUAAUGUAACACAGUUUUAGCUCUUCGAGUAUUGGCAUUGGGAUUGUUCGUGGUUUUGGUGUUAUGAACGAUCUCUGGUUCUUGAUUUUGAUCACACAAUUGCAUAGUUAUAAACACUUUGUUGUGGCUUUCUGAAUUCUUGUAAUUUUACAUAUUAAAACAACCAGAAAGAUCCUCUGCUGCAUAUACGUAUAUACUUAGAUGCGCGUAUGGAGGCGUUACAUGGUGUAUUGAGAAGACCGAAUGCCACAGCUAACUUCUCACUAUGACAUGAUGAAUCUUCAUAGUCUGAUACGGGUAUCCUCUCUUCUUCAACCCCCUAAACCCUUCUUCUUUAAUCCCCUCUCCCUCAUUGCCUGUCGUGUACUUUCGGCUAAAUCCGGCUGACCAGAAUCAUCGUACAAACUUGCAAGCAGCACGUAAAAUGCUGCAUCAGACGGGUCAAGCUCCAUCCCUCGCCUUACUGUAUAUUCCCCGGGAGCAAUGUUUUUAUCUCCGUAAAUGCUCUCAAACCAUCUUCUACGAGGUCAGAAAACAUUUCGUGUACAAGUAUCAUCCUCCAAGCCAGCGUUGAUCACCGCGAAUGAAUCCAAGCUCGACCGCAUACGUAUGGAUUCAAGUCCUGUAAUCCAACUCUCCGGCAAUGAGCAUGAUUUUAAGAUACUUGAGAGCGUAAACUCAUUUGGGCACUGCCCCGGAAACAAUCGUCGAAUCGAAGAAUUCAAGCGAGACGUGAUGGUGUCCGUUCCUGACAUAAGCAGACAGCACCCCAGUCCAGGAUACAACUCCAGAGCACGCAUAGAGAGACAGCAGGUUGUUGGCUGAGUAGAGGUCGUCGUCAAGACGCGGUUUGGUAAUUGCACUGCGGACACAGAUGCCCCCUGGCAGGGACUGUGAGUUGCACGCGGAAAGAACGCGAAGGCAACUUUUUCUGAAACAGUAAACUUCAUUUGUGUUGACAACGAGCCUGGUGACUUCUGUUAGAGGCAUCAAAGUUCAGAGCCUUUUCGAGUAGUUGAGUUUGAAGGAGGAAAAGACUAAACAGCAGUUUAACUAUCGCACUUAGUAGAAACUAACGGUAUUAUAUUGGAGAAAUGUUUGAACGUGAUGAAAACACAAUCAAUACACCAGGUGUCAUAAUAAACAGGCUACGCCUAAUAGCCACCUUAGUUGCCAACAUGGCAUUUGCUGAAUUUUAGUAUAUUGGGAUAAUGAUUGGUGCAGGUCAAUGGUCGUUGUUGUUGUAUUUAGUCAUGGACAAAGGGAAGCUUCCUUUCUCAAUGACUGGGUAUAUGAAUAUGGAAGCUGCCACGAAAACUUAUAUCUAAAAAAUAUAUUCCUAUUUGCCUUGCUUUAUAUAAUACGUGCAAAAACCGUGCAUAAAGAUAUUUUUAUAAUAAGGGUGUGCUAUGCGCAACGACACAAUAUAACAUGCGACAUUAAUUUUAACAAUAUACUAAUUCAUGUCAAACGUUUUUUAUAUUAUCGUAUAUAAAGCUUUACUUCAAUGACGAAAAAUAAUCAUAUUUAUGUACUUUGUCUUUGUUUCUUAUUUGAUGCCCACCUGCUCAAAUAAAGAGUAGACUUUUCUAAUCAUUUGAGCUCAUCCUGGGAUUGGGAAUAAAUAGAAGUAGAUGGAAACAUGGAAGCUGCUAAGAAAAGUACAAGAAGUUGCCUUCCUUGUUUGGUUUUUCUUGGAAAAAUACUUCCCCACCGAAACCAACAAAAAGAUAACGAAUUUGUUUGGUGCCAAUGAGACCAAAAUAUAACAACUGUAAAUUUAGUAUGAAAACACUUUAGGAGUUUAAUUGGAGAAAUAAAUUCUUCAUCAAUCUACUUGUCGUGCUACAUUUAAUUUUUCAUUGUGAAUCUCGUUUGAUACUCUUUUCUCAUUACAAAGUCACCAACUUAACCAAGGAGCUUCUAUAUAAGCCUUUGUAUAGAGAUUAUCUUACACGAGGUGGAGCCAGCGUUCGGUCGGAUGUGAUUAAAAUAUAGAGAAUCUCAUACUAAUUUCGAAUAUAUAUUUUUCUUGUAAACUAGAUUUAGCUAAAUUAGCUAGAGUAAUGUGCUCCACCUUCUUAGCCAAAUUCAAAUCUCUCUGUCUAUUUUUCAAAGGUAAACUACAGCUUGACUCCAUAAACUAUUAGUCUAUUACCCCAGUUGAAAUUGACAUUCUAAAUUAUUUUUUGGUAAAUUAACCCUCUAAACCAUUUGAAAUCAGUUAGUUAAACCAUCACCGUAUAGUUCGAUGAAAAUUUCGUCAACUUUGUUAGAAAGUACUGGCACGACUUUACUCUCAAGAAUAAAUCACAUGCCAGUAUUUGAAGACAAAGUAGAUAAAUUUCAUUAAAAUUUAAUGAUGAUGGAUUAAUUAGGUAAUUUCUAAUAAUUCAGAGCCAAAGAAAAUAGAUCAAGAGAUCAGUUUCAAGCGAGUAAUAAUUCAAGGGUUAAACGACAAUUUUUCACUUUUUUAACGGAGUGAAAGACUUCAUCAAAGUCUCCUUGGAACGUUCAUAGAUUCUUCUUAAUCUCUCUCUCUCUCUCUCUAUAUAUAUAUAGACACACACACACACAUAUACAUAUAUACAAACACACACACACACACACAUAUUGGUGGGAACUACAAAGGGCCGAAGCCCAAAGGCCCAAAACACAACACUCUACUUGCGUCGACUUCGAUAAGUUUUUUCCUCUUACUUUCGCUACAUUUUUUCUAGAUCCUUCCAUCUCCCUCUCUCUCCAACUCCCAGUCCACGCUGACGGUUGCUCCUCCGCCCAUGGCUUCCGAUCCCGAACAGCGUGCCAAGGAGGCGUUCAUGGACGACCACUUCGAGUUGGCCGUCGACCUCUACACCCAGGCCAUCGCUCUCAACCCCCAGAGCGCCGAGCUCUACUCCGACCGCGCCCAGGCCAACAUCAAAGCCGGCAAUCUCACUGGUACCCUCUUUUCCUCGUGUAAUUUCGUGAAUACCCGUUUCUUUUUUUUUCUUGUUUGGUUCCCAAGAAAUCCCGAGAAAAUACUCGAUUGGAUUUUCUAAUUCUCUUUAUCUGUUGUGGGUUUUUUGUUGUUAUCAGAGGCUGUUGCGGAUGCGAACAAGGCGAUUGAGUUCGACCCGUCAUUGUACAAAGCGUAUUUUCGAAAAGGGUGAGUUCGAAUGCACAACACCGAUAACCCGUAAUUAUAUUUGUUGUUUUUGAGCACCUGUUUGUAUUGGAUACUGAAAAGAGUGUAACUUUUAAUUGAAAUUUUAGGUCUGUAAUCUAAUAGGGUGUUAAAUUUUGCCUAAAUCUUGCAACCAUCAACUCGAAAGUCUAUAAAGGUCGUGCUGAUCCUCCGUUAUCGUUGUGGAUCAUUCGCCUUUUGCGAAAGGGAAAGGAUUAUACUGCUAAUUCUAAGUGUUUCGAAACUUUGGAUUUUUGUUUUUGGCCAAAACCUUGGAGGGCUCAUUUCUAGGGUAUUGUGUAGUCCGUUCAUGAAACUCGUUAUGUAUUGCGUGUAGGGUUUUAUAAGUUAUGUUCUGCACCGGGAACAUGUCAUUGCUAAUGUCACAGAUUGUUUUACGAUUUGUGUUCUUUGCUGUUGAUGGCUACAGAAUUGCCUGCAUCAAGCUCGAGGAAUAUCAGACUGCAAAGGCGGCCCUGGAAACCGGUGCUCCUUUGGCCCCGCAGGAGACAAGAUUUGCUAGUUUGAUAAAAGAGUGUGAUGAGAAAAUUGCAGGUGUGUUGUUUGACUGUUACAAGUUUGCACCUUUUUAGUAAUUCAUGUAAUGACGGGCCUUUCUCACAGUUAGAUGUUUAGCUUUCUUAUACAGUGGAAUUUUUUUGGUAAUGGGGGCAUCUAAGGAAAUCAUUGUUAUAGAAAUUACUCUUUCUCAUGCAGUUGAUCCUCUUUAUCUUAUUUAACUGUUUCAUGUCCGAUCAGAGGAAACUAUUGUUCUACCAACACCUCCAGUGGAGAAAGACAUUACAGAGAAUGUUAUACCUGAAAAAGAUGUUGAGCCUGUGAGUCAACCUUCCAAUCAGGUGACCGUAGCAACUGUCAAACCAAAAUACAGGUUAGUCGAGAUCAAUUUAAUUUCUGUUGCCGGAAGUGUUUUAGUUUCAUAUUUUUAAGGAGCAUCACCAAAACAUUCUGUUUGCAGUUUUUUUGUUAUUGCUUUUCAUCUUUUUGUACUGUCUGUAUUGAAGCUCCGAGAUAUCUAUGCAUGCUUGGGUAAUACCCUCUUAUUUGCUUUAUGUAUUGUAUCCUUACUCCAUGGUCAUUGAGAUGCAUGAUUUGGUGGAAAUUUUUUAUGUAGGCAUGAAUUCUACCAGAAGCCAGAAGAAGGGGUUGUGACUAUAUUCGCCAAGGGCAUACCGGCCAAAGAUGUUCAUGUUGACUUUGGUGAACAAAUAGUAUGAUUCUCAUUGAUUCAAUGCUUCUUUUUAUUAUUUGUUCUCAGUGAUCUCAUAGUUUUCUAGAACUUACGGCUGAUGAAUCACUUUUUCUGGGUAUUGUCAAUUGUGUACAAGUUUUACGGCUGAUGAAUCACUUUUAUUGGUUGUUUCCAGCUAAGUGUUAGCAUCGAUGUUGCUGGUGAAGAUACAUAUCAUUUUCAACCUCGCUUAUUUGGAAAGGUAUUGCACCAAUUCUAUGUUGCUGAGGUUUUUCUUUUUGUUUAUAACGAGGAUAUAUACAGAAAAUUAAAGCAAAACACGCAUGCCCGUUUCCAAUUUUUAUUUUCAAAUAAUUGGCAGUAUCGUAUCCUUUGCAUUUAAUCUGGCCCCAGUAGUUGGUAUCCUUUUGAGCCAUUGGCUGAUUUUAUAUAUGCAUUAUAGAAGGCUUACAUUUUCGAACAAAAAAUAACUGUGAGCUUUGGUGGUUGCAAACAGAUAAUACCUGAAAAAUGCAGGUUCGACGUUCUCUCCACCAAAGUUGAAAUUCGCCUGGCUAAAGCUGAACCGAUACAGUGGGCAUCUCUUGAAUUCAGCAAGGACAGCCUUGUUCCAUUUAGGGGCAGUGGCCCAGGUAUGUUAAUAUGUUUGCAACCCUCUGAUUCUAAAACUAGAUUAGAAAUUAGCUACUUAAAGGGGUUAACUGUCAACAGUUGUUGGAGCGCCAAGGCCAUCCUACCCAUCCUCAAAACCAAAAAGGGACUGGGAUAAGCUGGAGGCUCAAGUGAAGAAGGAGGUUUGCUCGUAGCUCAGUUAGUUGAUUUGACAUUAUAGUUGCAUAUUUCAAUUCACGAUACUUACUCCGAUACAUUGUGAUUCCAGGAAAAAGAAGAGAAGCUUGAUGGUGAUGCAGCUCUGAACAAAUUCUUCCAGGACAUAUACAAGGAUGCUGAUGAGGACACAAGAAGGGCGAUGAGAAAAUCUUUUGUAAGACAUUUUUGUAUCUUGUAUUGUGAUAUCCAGUAAAAUUCAUAAUUCCGGUCACCAUGAAAGAUUCAGGUGGAACCACCAUGGUCUUGGGAGUAAAAUCAGCCUACUUUAUAUUGACUUGCAUCUUGCAUCGUUGUGUUUGUACUGUACAGGUGGAGUCAAACGGGACAGUGCUUUCGACAAACUGGAAAGAAGUGGGAAACAAAAAGGUUGAGGGAAGUGCUCCCGACGGCAUGGAGAUGAAGAAAUGGGAGUUCUAGACAGUUGCUGAAUUCUUGUACUAGUUGGAACUCGGAUGAUAUGCUUUUUUUGCUUGUAACCUAUUUGGUGUGUGAUUUUGUUGGUUGGGACAGAAUGAUUAGUUUCCAAUUAGUCUUUGGCACUACUCUGGCUGUGUGGGUGAUGACUCUCUCUCUUUUGAAAUCAGCCAGAAUUGGUUUAUUUUCUACUGUGUUUUGCUUGUGCGUUGUACAAUCGAAACCGAUCCUGUCUGGACGAAUUUGAAGUGUUUAAUACUUAUUUGCUUUGUUCUUGCCUUGAUCAUCUUCUGGUUUUGCCGAGUUCGGCUUUAACUCGUGCGGCCGGCGAGUCCUCGGUAUGACGAUGUGCGAAAGAGUGGUGCUAUUCACGCUCCUUUUAUUUCUCUUCAUCUAGGGUUUUUAUCACAGUUGGUUUGUGAAAUUAGCUGGAAAAGAAAAUUGGGUAAAGCGAUUCAAAUUUGGGUGUUGAGCGAGAGUGCAGAGCACUCUGCAUUAGCUAACUUGGCUAAGUGGUGCGGUGAUGCACCUAAACUUUUGAUUUAUCAAAAAAGAAAACUUGUCAAUGUGUAUAUUCUCUUUUGAUACAAUCAAUCAAGUGGUUAACAUAAACAAGCAGUAGCAGUUGGCGAAUUUUCUUAACCGACAACAACAAUACCUAUGCACUCUGGUGCGAAUUCGAUUUGCACAGAUCCCCUCCCCAUAACUUUAAUAAUUUAACUCACUAAUGCUAUGUUUGUAAAAGAAACCGUAAACGAGCAAUACAUAUUUUACAAAAAAUUAAACUGAAGUUAAAUUCUAAAGCAUAGUAUAAAACAUAGCGUUCGACCCUCACUGACGAAAACGCUGCGUUCGACGAUCUGAUGGUUUCCUGCUACCUGUAAGUUCUGUGGUAUCACUAUCGUCCUCUCUAAAAUCUGAUCAUUUUUUCUGUUUUUUUGGUCUGCGAGUGCGACGGCGAGUUCGGAAAAUACGAUCAAUCAGUCCGAUCGGAUUCCGAUUUCGAAAUUUGAAAUCCGGCGAAGCAGAAUAUCCCCGAGAAAUGCAAUUCUUCGGAGGAACGGAGAUAAGCCCGUCGCUGCCGGCGUCGACGGCUUCGGGGAACAACGGGCACAUGAUGUACGUAUUCAACCGUAACGGCGUCUGCCUCCUCUACCGCGAGUGGAAUCGGCCGCUCCACACCCUGAACCAGCAGCAGGAUCACAAGCUGAUGUUCGGGCUCCUCUUCUCCCUCAAGUCCCUCACCGCCAAGAUGGAUCCCACCACGCCUGACAAGGCCAACCUCGGUGUCCCUCAGCUCCCCGGGCAGGGCUGCUCCUUCCACAGCUUCCGCACCAAUACCUACAAGCUCACUUUCAUGGAGUCCCCUUCUGGCAUUAAGGUUUUUUUUCUUCUUCUCAAUUUUAUCAGAAAAGUUUAUCAAUUUUUGCAAAUCAUUGGCAUUCGGAUCUAGAAAUUGAUAAAUAUGGGUUUGGAUUUUGAUUGGAAUUAAAGGUUUUGCUGAUUCUGGUGGCAAUUUGCUCGUACUAGAUCUACCCAUUUAGCAAUUUAGAUUCUUGAACUUGAAUUUGUGCUUAGCUUGGCAAUUAGCAAUUUCGAUGUGUCUCGUUGUUUAUGCUGAACUUCGUAAUCGUAUGAUAAUUCUUAAUGCAAUUUUAAUGUGCUAGAAAAAGCUUUUUAAUUGAUGUGCUCUGAUUUCUGUUUUCGGUGUGCAGAUUAUAUUGGUUACACAUCCUAGAACUGGUGACUUGAGGGAGUCUCUGAAGUACAUUUACAACUUGUAUGUCGAGUAUGUUGUGAAGAACCCGCUCUACACUCCCGGUACUCCGAUCAGGUAACUGACUCUUUUCUCGUCAUUAUAAUGUAGUGAAUAAUAAUCUUCAGUUCUUCGCACGGGGAAGUUUCAUGUGAUAGGUCAUAAAUAGUUAUUUGUGUUAUCACAGGGAGAAGUUUCGUAGAUAGUAAUCCCUGCUACAAGAAUAUAUAUUAAACUUUUUCAUGUUUUCUUAUCACGCUGAUGCAUCGUGUUGGGUUGGUCAAGUAAAAAAAUUAGAAAGAUGCAACUAAUGAUAAAGAAAAUGUGUCCUUAAAUAUUGUGUUGCGUGUCGAUGUGUCUUGAUAUUCUGUAUAUGCAACAUGUGUAUUUGAAUUCUUUUGAUGGCUUAGGCAUCGUAGAUACGUCAUGUAUUCCUGAGUCGUUGAUGUCUUGAUACUAAAACAAUUUCUUUUUUCCGUCAAACUCUAGAAAGGCUUGUAAUGUCUUGCGAUUGCUUUUUUAAGUGAUUUCAAUACAGGUUUCAACAGUACUGUCACUGUGUGGUUAUAUACUUUGUAAGGUUUUCACACAAUCGGAAAGGGGUCUUUGAGUUGCAGAGUAAUUGAGUGAUUUUCCUUGUAGGUGUGAGCUAUUCAACACAACUCUUGACCAAUACGUCAGGAGCAUUUCAUAGAAGGAAAAGGGAAGUGCAUUGGAAAGUUUCACCUAUAGGUGUUCUGCUUCGAUACUAAAUCAUGUCUAGGCUUCUUUUCUGCCCACAUCUAUUCUUACCCUGGACCGAAGCCAAUGGACAUUUGGGUUCAUUCAGAAUGUAGGUUAUUGAAUGUACCAUGUAGUGGAUAUUUUCUGCAACUUGACUCUUAAGAGUUUUACAAUGAGAUACGAGCGUACAUUUUCAUCCGUGUGGACUUGAUGUGUUCAAUGUCAUCAUGUAGUGUCCUAUUUGGUUAUGACAAAUUGAUUUAAUGUAUUGUUGGAAGCAUGAUUUGUUAAUUGUCAACAGUUACCGAUUAAUUUGUUUGGUUUUUCUUAUCAAUUUUAGUGUCUCUAUGCCUCUUGCCGUAGGCGUCAAUUAGUCUAUUGGAAUAGAACUCUGUAGUUUCCUAUUGUUUUUUCGGAUAUCAUGUAUGUUGCGAACCAGUGUUUGACCUUUGUAGAAGAUGCGGAAUUGCGAUGAUACUGUUAUUAGUGGUGAAACUGUAAUCUUUUGGUAUAUUGUUAGUGUCUCCGGAGAUGCUUAGAAAUAUUAUUCACUUUCCUUUUGAGGUUUGCAGCUAACAAAUUUGUAAGAUUAAGGAUCCACAGGGCUACAAUUUCCUUUACCCGUCUCCACCAAUUGGCCGCUUGGUGGCCAUGGUAGAACCAGGCAAGCUAGAUCAACUCCAUCUCCGUCAGACUGCACGCCACCCCCCGCCCCCUUCCUGCGCAGGCACCACCUCAGGCACCAUCUCUUUCCCUUCCUCACCUCUCCUCCCAACCACAAAACACACCAUUAUCAGCGGGGAUAGAUCAUAGAUUGUCGCUGCACAAAAUGGUUGAGCUAAACUUCAUUUGGUGUUCCUUGCCGGUAUGACUGACUUUUUGCUAGCAAAUUACCAAGUUUUUCUUAUAGGUACCCCUAUUAUUUUGAGCAAAUUUUAUUUCUUGGUGAAGAUGAAAUGAUUGAAAUGGAAAAGAUUGAUUUAUGGACCAAAAUAAUUAUUCGCAACCGCAAUGGGAGAGUUUAAUUGCCAUUCCAUUCCGUACAAGGGUUUUGUAAUUCAGUUGAUUAAGAGCAUUCACUAUUGCUCCCUUGUUUUCGAGUUCACUUCCUCCCCUCCUCAAAAAAUGUCAUUGGUGUUGGACAAGGAUUGUCUGCCCUCCUUGUUCCCGUGCCCUCUCAUGCCCUCUUGUUUUGUGUGGUUACGGUUAAACCACGUUAACAUUUUAUAUUGUUUUUUUUAUAGAGAUAAUAAGACGAAAAUGAAUAGUAAUAUAAAAUGUUGACGUGGCUUAAUCGUGACCACACAAACAUAAGGGCAUAAGAGCAUGGGAGGGCACGGGAACAAGGAGGGCAAACAAUCCUUGUCCAUUGGUGUUUGGUAACGAUUGGAUUGGAAAAGGGUAACGACUAUGACAAGAUACAAGCGGGUAUAUAUCCAUGUUCCUACAGAAAAUUAGCAGCAAUUGAUAUGUGACAAAUGAGUUUUAUUAGCAACUUACAGCGUUCGAGGUUCAAAUCCUUCCUCUUCUCAUCAUUUUAGUGUAGUAAUACCGCUUGUACUAAAAAAAAUGGUGAGCUUAGUACGCCACGUUUUGGUGUGGGAAACAGAUGCAAAAAAAAAAAAAAAAUAUGCAACAAGGUGCAAAACUCAGUAAUAUGCAAGGGUACCACCAAUCCAAUGACUUAAAUUUCACAAGUGAAAGACCAAAAGAACAGAAGAAAGAAUGCAAAUGGAAACUGAAAGCUAUGAAUGUUCUAACACAUUGACAUCUACAAACUUUGCAGCAAGGGAAACAAAAUCCGGCUGUUGGAGAGAGAGAGGCGUCCUCGUUCAAGUUUUGCUUCCAAAUUCCGAUUCCAGACCGCCCCUCCGAUCCUUCCGUCUUCUCCGUCGUCCUUUCGGAGUUGGAACCAAGGAAACUUUCAAGUGAUGUUCACAUAUUCCUUCUUCCGUCGUCCGAUUAGGCUUCUAAAUGAAAGCAUAUAUGUACAUGUACAUGAAUAUUUUUGAGUGACAACAUAGUUUACCAACCACCACUUGACCGACUCAAAACUCACUCGCAUAGAUGGCUUAUUGAUUGGAUAGAAACUCGAAGGGAUAACAAAAUUGGACCCGGCUUCUCUACCCUCUCACUUCCCAUACACUCUCAUCCCUUCCUAUUUUGUGCGGUCACAAUUAAGCCACGUCAACAUUUUAUAUUGAUUUUUUUUAUAGAGAUAAUAAGAUAAAAAACAAUAAUAAUAUAAAAUAUUAACGCGGUUUAACCGUGACCGCACAAAUAGAAAGAGAUAGAAGUGUAUGAAAAGUGGGAGAGCAGAGAAGCUAGGUUCGACAAAAUUAGGCAUUUGUCACUUGUUUUUAUACGGAAGAACAGAAAACCGAUGUGAUGUCUUUGUUUUUGUUGUUUGAAAUUGUAGAAUUGUAUUAGAAAGUGGCCCGCAUGUAGCUUGUGAUAAGAAAAUACGGAAGUUCGCACUUUUGAUUUAUUUUUCAUGAUAAAUUUGAUGUAACUGAGGGACUGAGAAGCAUGUUUUGUUAAAUAUAUGUUAAGUUGCAGGUGAUGGGUUGUUUUAAUAGGACAUGUAGGUCCUCAUUUGGUGAUUUUUGAAGAAUAAUAUGACAACAAAUUAAGUGUGUGUUGAACAUAUAUCAUACUUAUAGUGAAGAGUAAAAUACUCUCGAUCAUUUGAUUAUCUGACAAACAAUAAUUAUGUGAUUCGGGGACCAUGAACAAUCAUAUUGUGAAAUAUUGGCCACAACGAAGGUGGCAACAAAUAUUGCAAAUGGUAGUACUACUAAUGUAAUUUUCACUUGCAAUGAAGUGGUCAUGCCGCGGAAUUGGAUCCUUGCUAGAUCUAAUUGCUGGGAUCCUAGGAAUCAAUCCACGUGGACCGUUGAUAAAAAAUCGUGCGGUCAUAAUUAAAUAUUUUAAAAGUAAAAUAGUCUCGUUUUGUGUGAAAAAUAUAUAAAAAAAAAAUUAUGACUGCACGAUUUUUGAUUAACGGCCCACAUGGGCUGAUCCCUAGGAUCCUAUGAAUUAGAUCCGGCGAGGAUCCAAUUCCGUCACGCCGCCUACCGCGCAUUGCCAAACUCUGUUGGGAGUGUCACGAGCUACAAUAACACUUUUUAGUCCUCACGCCACCUGUUUAUAGUAGGAGUUGGUGGCUGAUAGGAGAAGAAAUUUUUAGUUAUGAUGGAACACGGAUGAUACAUCAUGUGUUUUUAUGUAAGUGGUGAAAAAUUUUAAUUUUUAAGUUAUUAAUCUUUUAAAACACAUAUCUCACCAUUUAUAUAGAGACACAUGUGCGCUCUAAUAUCAACGGACGCACACUCCUAAUUUCUCCAUGCGUCCUCCACCAAAAAAAACAGUACCGUGGGCUUUUUGUUAAAACUUCCUUAACAAAUUUUGAAAUUUGAAUUGUACUUUGUUUUGAAUUUUUUCAUUAAAAACUGCUGAACUUUAAAAACAGGGCUACAUUGAAGUACAUUCAAACAUAGAAUUCAAUUUCUCUUCGAAUAUUAAAUAGUGCUCAAACCCUCGCUCACCUCCAACCGUGAUCUAAGGGUGACAAUGCUUGCCUGUGUGCAGUUGGUGGCUGGUGGCAAGAGUUAGAUACACUCCAAAAUUUUCACAUGCAUACUCCUCAGUCAACUUAGUCCAUUCACCAAUAUUGCUGAUAUGAUUAGAUAUCCUCAUGAAUUGUAAUUUUCUUUUAAAUAUUUGCAUUAGAAACUGUUUGACGCUGAAAUCAAAACUCUCUUUCAAAAUUAAAUAGUAUUUAAACUCUCACUCUUUCCAACAUUAUUAGAAUAGAAUAUAGUUUUUAAUAAAAAAAGUGUUGGUGAAAUAUAUUUUUUUGAGUACUUUGCUAUGUUUACACUAGGAGGAGGGAGAAUUCAACUAAGUUACCUAAUGGGCAGCUUAAUUUGGUAUCGAAUUCGUCAUCCACGAGAUUCGAACUUAAGAUCUCUCACUUCUAAAUGAAAAGAAAUAUCACAAGACCGUAAUACUGAAUGAUAAUACUCAAAACCUGAAACUAUUAGUGAAUUUUAUAUCAUAAGCAAAAUUCAAAUUGUCUUCCCUGAUAGGAUUAGUUUUUAAAGUGGAAAAAGGACAAUUCAUAAUUUCAUAUGGGACGAGAUUCUCUUCGGAUCCUUAUAUUUUAGCUAUUUAUCGUUUAUCAUGCGAUCAGUUUUAGUUAGAUACUAUUUAUGUUUAAUUUUAUAUAAGCUUGAGAAGGAAAAAUACCAAGUUUUUCCAUCUCUCUGCGGUGGUGCGGAGAAGGAAAAAUAAGCUUGAAGGCCUUAAUAAUUCUGAAGGAGUUUGGACAGAUGGAAAAGAGAAUUUAAAGUCGAUUGUUGUCAAUUACUUCAAAGAUCUUUUUUCAUUUCGCAUAACGACGACAAAUAUGGAGAGUUUGCCCCAUCUAUUCCCUUGUCUUAGUGGUGAUGACUUAGCUGUCCUAAACGGGGAAGUCACCGAUGAUGAGAUUAAAGAUUGUAUGUUUGCUAUUGGUGGUCUCAAGGCCCCUGGACCUGAUGGUAUCCCUGCUCGUUUCUACCAAAAAUUUUGGCAUCUUUGUGGCAAGGAUAUUAGUGAUAUGGUUAAGGGUUGUUUCAAUUCAACUCAACUCCCGGACAACAUCAACAACACCUUCAUCUCAUUGAUUCCUAAGGUUGAUAAUCCUACAAGCAUGACUCAGCUGAUGCCUAUUAGUCUGUGUUCUACUCUUUACAAGGUCAUCUCCAAAAUUUUGGUGGGGAAAUUGCGACCGCUUCUCCAUAAACUUGUUAGCCCUACUCAAGUGAGCUUCGUCCCGGGUAGGCAAAUUAUUGAUAAUAUCAUUGUUGCUCAAGAAAUCCUCCAUAAGUACAGAAACACCAAAGGUAAAAAAGGGUUCAUUGCUUGGAAAAUUGACCUUUCCAAAGCUUAUGAUCGGCUUCAGUGGAGUUUUAUUAGAGAUGUUCUAUGGGAGAUUGGGCUAAGAGGGAAAGUCUUGGAACUUAUCAUGCAAUGCGUUACCACAGUCAAAUACCAAGCUAUUGUUAAUGGAGCUCACUGAUUCUUUCUCCCCACACUGUGGAAUCAGACAGGGAAAUCCCCUCUCUCCCUAUUUAUUUGUGCUUUGCAUGGAAAAACUCUCCCAUAUCAUUAAUGGAUGCAUCACCACUAAGAAAUGGAAGCCAGUUAAGCUAGCUAGAAAUGGGCCUUCUGUAUCUCAUCUCUUUUUUGCGGAUGAUCUUAUUUUGUUUGCGGAAGCCUCCUCAACUCAAGCCAAAAUUUUGAAGGAUUGUCUUGAUAAUUUUUGUGCUGUGUCCGGUCAGCAGGCGAAUUUUGAUAAAUCAUGUAUCUAUUGCUCACCUAAUAUCUCUCGAAGUAAGGCUACUGAAAUUGCCAACAUCUGUGGUUCUCCUCUCACUUCUGAUUUAGGUCACUACUUGGGUGUGCCGUUACUGCAUUCUAGAGUCAACAAAGAGACUUAUGGCAACAUUGUGGAAAAAGUUCAACGUCGACUCUCUGCUUGGAAGAGCAAUACCCUCUCUAUGGCAGGUAGGCUUGUUUACCUCCAAUCAGUCGCCUCAGCCAUUCCAAUCUACUCAAUGCAAUCUACUCGCCUCCCAAUUUCCAUAUGUGAUAAAAUUGAUAAGUUGGAAUUUCUUAUGAGGCCACACUGAGGGAAAUUCCAAGGUUCACCUUGUUAAGUGGGAGACAAUUUGCACGCCUAAAUUCAUGGGCGGGUUAGGAUUGAAAGAUACUCAUGUUAUGAACCAAGCCCUCCUUGCUAAAACUGGCUGGAAACUUAUGCAAAGAGACUCGGGCCUAUGGGCGCAAGUUUUAAAGGGAAAGUAUCUCAAACACCAUGACAUGGUGGGUGCUUGCUCUGCUAAGUACACUAAUUGUUCUCAUACUUGGCGUGGAAUCCUCUUUGGUGCCCAAAUCCUUCCUAAUGGUAUGAGAUGAAGAGUCGGAUCUGGAAGCCAAAUUCAUUUUUGGAAAGACAACUGGCUUGAGUGUGGAGUGCUCAAAGAUUUUGCUACCAUCUCUCUUUCAGACGACAUGCUUGACUGGACAGUUGAAGACUUCCUUACUGAUUCUGGUUGGAAUGUAGAUUUGUUAUACUCCUGCCUUCCUCCUGAUGUUGUGGAACAUAUUUUCAGUUUACAUGCUGGAAUUGCGAAUCAAAGGGAAGAUAAGAUAAUUUGGAGCCUCACCAAUUCUGGAACAUUAUCCGUGAAAACUGCCUAUCUCUCUCUUUUUAGCGAUGAUGAUAUCAUUCCCUGGAAAUGGAACUUCAUUUGGAAACUCAAGUUGCCCCCCAAAUUAGUGACUUUUCUCUGGACUAUUGGUUAUGGGAAAAUGCUCACCAAUGUGCAGAGAGCUAAAAAAGGUUUUACAAAUGAUCCGUGUUGUCCAAUCUGCCCUACUGUUGAGGAAUCAAUGGAUCAUAUUUUCAGGUAUUGUAGGCAUUCUCCUUCCCUUUGGAAUAAUGUUGGAAUCCCAUAUGAAGUUGCCCAUUCCUUUGCUCUUGAUUUUCAGAGUUGGAUGGCCAUAAAUCUUAGGACACAUUGUUCUACCACUCAUGGUUUACCCUGGAACCUCAUCUUUGCUUCAACUUUGUGGUAUUGCUGGAAAAUGAGGAACAUGUUUGUCUUCAAUAAUGGACAACAACCGCCUGUCCCACCCCUUAAGGUUAUUUUUCAAUUUGCAAGAGAUUGGUAUGAUGCCAACAAGUGUUCUUCUAGUAAGCCUCCUAGACAAAUCAUCUCAAUCCAUUGGAUCCGUCCGCCAAUUGGUAGAUAUAAAAUCAAUACAGAUGGGAGUUGUAAAGAUCCAUUUAGCCACAUAAGUGCCGGAGGUUUGAUUCGCAAUUCUGAAGGGGAUUGGAUUAAGGGAUUUGCUGCUAAUUUAGGCAGAGGAACCAUCAUGGAAGCUGAGCUUUGGGGUGUUCUCAUGGGCCUUUCUAUAGCUUGGGACGAGGGUUGCAGGGACGUGAUCCUUGAAUGCGAUUCUUGGGAUGCUGUUAUUUCAAUCCAAAAACCUAUAUUGGCUUUGUACCCACUUUACAAUCUCAUUCUUGACUGCAAAGAAGCCAUUGAAAGAAAUUAGAGAUGCGAAGUCAUUCAUAUCUAUCGAGAAAAGAAUGCAUCAGCUGAUCAUAUGGCUGACUUGGGUCAUGGGCUCCUUGGCCUUCAUGUUUUUGUUUCUCCUCAUUCCUCUGCUACUAAUUUUCUAGCUUCUGAUUCUAUUGGCAGAGCCCUUCCUAGGGCUGUUCUUGCCUAGUUCUGUUUGUCUUUGUUUUGCUUGUCUGGCUUUGCCAUCCUCUGUACCAAAAAAAAGAAAUAUAUUUUUUUGAGUACUUUGCUAUGUUUACACUAGGAGGAGGGAGAAUUCAACUAAGUUACCUAAUGGGCAGCUUAAUUUGGUAUCGAAUUCAUCAUCCACGAGAUUCGAACUUAAGAUCUCUCACUUCUAAAUGAAAAGAAAUAUCACAAGACCGUAAUACUGAAUGAUAAUACUCAAAACCUGAAACUAUUAGUGAAUUUUAUAUCAUAAGCAAAAUUCAAAUUGUCUUCCCUGAUAGGAUUAGUUUUUAAAGUGGAAAAAGGACAAUUCAUAAUUUCAUAUGGGACGAGAUUCUCUUCGGAUCCUUAUAUUUUAGCUGUUUAUCGUUUAUCAUGCGAUCAGUUUUAGUUAGAUACUAUUUAUGUUUAAUUUUAUAUAAAAAAUUAAAAAUAAAUUUUUACCGAUAUAUAAUGAACGACUAAGAUGUAAGGAUUCUUAAGAUCCCCAUCAUUUGAAUCCAAAUUCCAUUCAUAUGGACAUAAAAAGAAAUAAGACAUUUCCUAAAAGACAUAUAAUAUUUACAAAAAUGUAUCCACUUGUCAUCUUGAUUUUCCAAUAACAAAAAAUUGACAGAUAAUAAUUUUUUAUUUCUUAUUUUUAUCAAAAAAAAAAAAUUGAUGAGUGAUUAAGGAAGAACCGAAGAAAGUAUAUAAGAACAGUUGUGAUCAGGGAGCGCAGCUACAAAACCCUCACAGAGACAGAGAGCUAUGGAGGAAGUAGCUAUCGUUUUAUAUCCAUCACCGCCGAUUGGCCACUUGGUCUCCAUGGUAGAGCUAGGCAAGCUCAUACUCACCCACCACCCUUCUCUGCGCGUCCACAUCCUCAUCACCACCCCGCCCUACCGCGCCGACGACACCGCCUCAUACAUCACCUCCGUUUCCGCCACCAUCCCUUCCCUCAUCUUCCACCACCUCCCCACCAUCUCUCUCCCUCCCUCCCUCGCCUCCUCCCCCAACCACGAAACCCUAACCUUCGAAGUCCUACGCCUCAACAACCCUAACGUCCACCAAGCCCUCCUCUCCAUCUCCCAGAACUUCUCCAUCAAAGCUUUUGUCAUGGACUUCUUCUGCGCUCUCGGGCUCUCCGUUGCCACCGAGCUGAGCAUCCCCAGCUACUUCUUCUACACGUCCGGCGCCGCCACCCUCGCCGGCUUCCUUUGCUUCCCCACCAUUCACAACAAUACCGACAAAAGCCUCAAAGACCUAAAUACCCUUAUCAACAUUCCAGGAGUCCCGCCGAUUCCUUCCUCCGAUAUGGCGAAACCGAUUCUUGAACGAAACGACAAGGCGUACGAACAUUUCCUAGAAAGCUCAAAGCAGUUCCCCAAAUCCGCUGGGGUUAUCGUAAACACGUUCGAAUCUCUCGAACCUAGAGCUCUCAAAGCAAUAUCGGACGGUCUGUGCUUGCCCGAGAACUUUCCCACGCCGCCGGUCUACCCCAUCGGACCGCUGAUUGUUUCCCACGGCGGUGGAGGCCGCGGGGUCGAGUGUUUGAAUGGCUGGACUCACAGCCAAGUGGAAGCGUGGUGUUCCUCUGUUUUGGGAGCUUGGGAUUGUUUUCAAAGGAGCAGUUGAAGGAAAUUGCAAUUGGGUUGGAGAAUAGUGGGCAGAGAUUUUUGUGGGUGGUCCGUAAUCCGCCGGCCCAUAAUCAAAUUGGGGUGGCCAUUACGGACCAGUCCGAUCCAGAAUUGAAAUCUUUGCUUCCCGAUGGGUUCUUGGAUCGGACCAAAGACCACGGUCUCGUGGUCAAGACGUGGGCCCCGCAAAUGGCGGUGUUGAAUCACGACUCGGUGGGUGGGUUUGUGAGUCAUUGCGGGUGGAACUCGGUGUUGGAAUCGGUGUGUGCUGGGGUGCCGAUGGUGGCUUGGCCACUCUACGCCGAGCAGAGAUUCAACCGGGUCGUUUUGGUGGAGGAGAUUAAAAUUGCAUUGCCAAUGAACGAGUCGGAAGACGGGUUUGUGAUUGCGGCAGAGGUGGAGAAGCGAGUUAUCGAGUUGAUGGACUCGUCCGAGGGCGAGUCGAUUAGGAUGCGUACAAAGGCUUUUCAGAACGAAGCCCAUGCAGCGUUGGAUGAGGGCGGGUCGUCUCGGGUUGCAUUGAAUAAACUACUUGAACUAUGGAGCCAAACCGGUUAGAGUCCGACCGGGUUUAUGACUUUUUUUUCUUUGACCGGGUUUAUGACUUUGUUAUUGUAUUUUCCGGCCAUGAUUUUCUUCUUGUUCAAUUUUAUCAACGGAAUCUUCAAUUACAAAUGAUCAAUACGAUUCAUGCCAAUAAUUACUACGAUUAACAGUAUUUCCGACAAUGAUUUUCUAUUUUUUUUAGUUAAUUUUAUCUGCAACAUGUUAUUUUGAUUGUGUUAGAUGAAUUCUCAAAAAAUCAUGUUUCACUGGUGAAAGAAGAGUUGUAAAUGCGGUUGAAAACCAAUAGCAAAUGAACA